rnacentral:rRNA from 1 species
GUGCCAGCCGCCGCGGUAAUACGGAGGGUGCAAGCGUUAAUCGGAAUUACUGGGCGUAAAGCGUACGUAGGCGGUGUGUUAAGCUAGAUGUGAAAGCCCCGGGCUCAACCUGGGAAUUGCAUUUAGAACUGGCACGCUAGAGUCCUGAAGAGGGUGGUAGAAUUUCCAGUGUAGCGGUGAAAUGCGUAGAUAUUGGAAGGAAUACCGGUGGCGAAGGCGGCCACCUGGUCAGAGACUGACGCUGAGGUACGAAAGCGUGGGGAGCAAACAGGAUUAGAAACCCGGGUAGUCC